rnacentral:rRNA from 1 species
ACGAACGCUGGCGGCGUGCUUAACACAUGCAAGUCGAACGGAAAGGCCCCUUUGGGGGUACUCGAGUGGCGAACGGGUGAGUAACACGUGAGUAACCUGCCCUUGACUUCGGGAUAACUUCAGGAAACUGGGGCUAAUACCGGAUAGGAAUCCUUGCUGCAUGGUGGGGGUUGGAAAGCUUCGGCGGUUUUGGAUGGACUCGCGGCUUAUCAGCUUGUUGGUGGGGUAGUGGCUUACCAAGGCUUUGACGGGUAGCCGGCCUGAGAGGGCGACCGGCCACAUUGGGACUGAGAUACGGCCCAGACUCCUACGGGGGGCAGCAGUGGGGAAUAUUGCACAAUGGGCGGAAGCCUGAUGCAGCAACGCCGCGUGCGGGAUGACGGCCUUCGGGUUGUAAACCGCUUUCAGCAGGGGCGAAGCUUGUGGUGACGGUACCUGCAGAAGAAGCACCGGCUAACUACGUG